rnacentral:rRNA from 1 species
AGAGUUUGAUCCUGGCUCAGAACGAACGCUGGCGGCGCGUUUUAAGCAUGCAAGUCGAACGGUAUGAAGAAGCUUGCUUCUUCAGAGAGUGGCGAACGGGUGAGUAACACGUAGAUGAUCUGCCUCGGGGUUGGGGAUAGCUCAUGGAAACAUGGGGUAAUACCGAAUACGCUCUUGAUUUUAAAUUGUCAAGAGGAAAGGAGCUUAGGCUCCGUCCUGAGAUGAGUCUGCGCCUCAUUAGCUUGUUGGUGGGGUAAAGGCCUACCAAGGCAACGAUGAGUAGCCGGCCUGAGAGGGUGAUCGGCCACACUGGAACUGAGACACGGUCCAGACUCCUACGGGAGGCAGCAGCUAAGAAUCUUCCGCAAUGGGCGAAAGCCUGACGGAGCGACGCCGCGUGUAUGAUGAAGGCCGUGAGGUUGUAAAGUACUUUUCUUACUGAAGAAUAAUGCUGGGAGGUAAUGCCCGGCAGAUGACGUUAGGUGAGGAAUAAGCCCCGGCUAAUUACGUGCCAGCAGCCGCGGUAACACGUAAGGGGCAAGCGUUGUUCGGAUUUAUUGGGCGUAAAGGGCGUGUAGGCGGUUUAUCAAGCCUGAUGUGAAAGACCCCGGCUUAACCGGGGGAACGCGUUGGGAACUGUUAGACUAGAAUGUAAGAGGGGUAGUUGGAAUUCCAGGUGUAGGGGUGAAAUCUGUAGAUAUCUGGAAGAACACCGGUGGCGAAGGCGAACUACUGGCUAUACAUUGACGCUGAGGCGCGAAAGUGUGGGGAGCGAACAGGAUUAGAUACCCUGGUAGUCCACACUGUAAACGAUGUGCACUAGGUGUUGGGAGGAUACUCUCAGUGCCGUAGCUAACGCGUUAAGUGCACCGCCUGGGGAGUAUGCUCGCAAGGGUGAAACUCAAAGGAAUUGACGGGGGCCCGCACAAGCGGUGGAGCAUGUGGUUUAAUUCGAUGAUACGCGAGAAACCUUACCAGGGCUUGACAUAUGGCAGACGAUCGUAGAGAUACGGUUUCCCUUCGGGGCUGUUAUACAGGUGCUGCAUGGCUGUCGUCAGCUCGUGCUGUGAAGUGUUGGGUUAAGUCCCGCAACGAGCGCAACCCCUCUCAUCUGUUGCCAGCAAGUAAUGUUGGGGACUCAGAUGAUACUGCCGGUGACAAACCGGAGGAAGGUGGGGACGACGUCAAGUCAUCAUGGCCCUUAUGUCCUGGGCUACACACGUGCUACAAUGGCCGGUACAGAGUGACGCGAAGCCGCGAGGUGAAGCAAAACGCAGAAAGCCGGUCUCAGUACGGAUUGGAGUCUGAAACUCGACUUCAUGAAGUUGGAAUCGCUAGUAAUCGCGCAUCAGCAUGGCGCGGUGAAUACGUUCCCGGGCCUUGUACACACCGCCCGUCACACCACCCGAGUUGGGGGUACCCGAAGUCGCUAGUCUAACCCGUAAGGGGGGACGGCGCCGAAGGUAUGCUUGGUAAGGGGGGUGAAGUCGUAACAAGGUAGCCGUAAUCUCUAGAGGAUCCC